GAUGAAGAACGUAGCGAAAUGCGAUACUUGGUGUGAAUUGCGGAAUCCCGUGAACCAUCGAGUCUUUGAACGCAAGUUGCGCCUCAAGCCAUUAGGUUGAGGGCACGUCUGCCUGGGCGUCACAUAUCGUUGCCUGAUGCCAGUUUCCUCGUGAUGGGUGACUGUGCAGGGCGAAUGAUGGCUUCCCGUGAGCAUUGUUGCCUCAUGGUUGGUUGAAAAUUGAGUCCUUGGUAGGGAGCGCCGUGAUAGAUGGUGGUUGAGUGACGAACGAGACCCAAUCAUGUGAGACCCCUACCGAAUUUGGCCUUCAUGACCCACAUGCGUCUUUGGAACGCUCAUGACGAGACCUCAGGUCAGGCAGGGCUACCCGCUGAGUUUAAGCAUAUCAAUAAGCGGAGGA
rnacentral:misc_RNA from 1 species